rnacentral:rRNA from 1 species
AUGGCUGUGCAGUGGUGCAGCGCGACGAGCCUGCACGGUUGGUGCCACAACCCAUCGCCGCCGCUGCCGUCCCCGGCAUUGGGGUCGCUGUCUCGGCAACCGAGGAGGAUCGGCUGCGUGUCCGUCCGCAGGGAGGUCGCCGUGGCCGCGGCGGCAGAGGCGGCCCCGCCGGAGGUGGAGGCGGACAUGGACAUGGAGGAAGAAGGUGUAGAGUGCGAAGAAGGGUGCGGCGGCACGGGGUGGCUGCUGUGCGACUUCUGCAAGGGGAAGAAGAACAACGUCAAGUCCGAGAGCAGCCCCCGGAUCUACCGCCGCUGCCCGACCUGCAAGGCCGCAGGGUACAUCUUAUGCCAGAGAUGCAGGGUCUACAGAUGCAUCACAUAUCCUGAAAGCACCGAAUCAUGA